UGGACUGUUUGUUCCUCGUGAUCGGGACCUG
rnacentral:piRNA from 1 species